AUCCUUUUGUGGUUCAAAAGUGUGAAGACUGGGUUUUCACUCGGUUGCCUGAGAUAUGCUGCCCUGAAACCUUGUUCUAUGUCAGAGUAUUACCUAGCUGAUG
rfam:Dipodomys ordii contig_61353, whole genome shotgun sequence.